UGACAGGUGAAAGUGUAUUAUCUAACAG
rnacentral:sRNA from 1 species